rnacentral:rRNA from 1 species
GGUGAGUAACACGUAUGCAACCUGCCCUCCGCAGGGGGAUAACCCGGAGAAAUCCGGACUAAUACCGCGUGGUACACCGGUGGGGCAUCCCACGGGUGUUAAAAGGAAGUGAUUCCGGCGGAGGAUGGGCAUGCGGCGCAUUAGCUAGUUGGCGGGGUAACGGCCCACCAAGGCGACGAUGCGUAGGGGUUCUGAGAGGAAGGUCCCCCACACUGGUACUGAGACACGGACCAGACUCCUACGGGAGGCAGCAGUGAGGAAUAUUGGUCAAUGGGCGGGAGCCUGAACCAGCCAAGUCGCGUGAGGGAAGACGGUCCUAUGGAUUGUAAACCUCUUUAGGCGGGGAGCAAUGCCGGGCACGCGUGCCCGGAGGGAGAGUACCCGCAGAAUAAGCAUCGGCUAACUCCGUGCCAGCAGCCGCGGUAAUACGGAGGAUGCGAGCGUUAUCCGGAUUUAUUGGGUUUAAAGGGUGCGUAGGCGGAUUUUUAAGUCAGCGGUAAAAUGUCCGGGCUCAACCCGGGCCGGCCGUUGAAACUGGGGAUCUUGAGUGGGCGAGAAGUAUGCGGAAUGCGUGGUGUAGCGGUGAAAUGCAUAGAUAUCACGCAGAACUCCGAUUGCGAAGGCAGCAUACCG